GAAUCUCGUCAUCUCACCUUAAACACCCUGAUUUUGUCUGAUCUCAGAAGCUAAGCGAAUGGGACCUGAUUAAUACUUGGAUAAGAGAAAUAAGUCAUCUGCUUAA
rnacentral:rRNA from 1 species